UACGUAGGGUGCAAGCGUUGUCCGGAUUUAUUGGGCGUAAAGAGCUCGUAGGCGGCUUAGCAAGUCGGAAGUUAAAACAGGAGGCUUAACCUCCUGUCGCUUUCGAUACUGCUAUGGCUUGAGUCUGGUAGGGGAUGACGGAAUUCCUGGUGUAGCGGUGAAAUGCACAGAUAUCAGGAGGAACACCGGUGGCGAAGGCGGUCAUCUGGGCCAGUACUGACGCUGAGGAGCGAAAGCGUGGGGAGCGAACAGG
rnacentral:rRNA from 1 species